ensembl:miRNA predicted gene, 44316
CAACAGAAAUCAAUUGUCAAAAUUCUGAAGGCUGAAAGCCGAAGAUCAAGGUGUUGGCAGGUGGGUUUCUCCUGAGGCCUCUCUCACUGUCUUGCAG